UGGUGAACCAGCGGAGGGAUCAUUACCGAGUUAUUACUCCAAACCCUUUGUGAACCUUACCAUUUUGUUGCUCGGCGUACCGCGGGCCGCGGCUUCGGCCCGUCCCGCAGCGCGCCAGAGGACCCAACUCUUCAAUUUAUAGCGUACCUUCUGAUUUACAAAACAAACAAGUUAAAACUUUCAACAACGGAUCUCUUGGUUCUGG
rnacentral:misc_RNA from 1 species